UGGGCAACCUGCCCCUCUCUCUGGGAUAACCCCCGGGGAAACCGGAGCUAAUACCGGAUACUCCGGCUGGAUCGCAUGGUCCGGCCGGGAAAGGUCCGCCGGAGAGGGAUGGGCCCGCGGCCUAUCAGCUAGUUGGUGUGGGUAAUGGCCCACCAAGGCGACGACGGGUAGCCGGCCUGAGAGGGUGACCGGCCACACUGGGACUGAGACACGGCCCAGACUCCUACGGGAGGCA
rnacentral:rRNA from 1 species